AUCGUACAACUAAACGGUAUUAUUCCGAGUUACAAACUUCUAUUCGUUCAAUAUGCAGAAAAUCUAUUUUGUUUUUAUUGUAGUUAUCAUACUGGAAGCUUCAUUGGUCACUCGUGGCCUGCCGACACCAGAGAGUGGUUUCUCUAAAAAUCCGCUGGUAAAGAAAUUUGCUAAAUGCUUCGGGAUAUCAGGCACCAAGGAUGGAAGUGGAUCAGGCAAAGGAAGUGGAUCAGGCGAAGGAAGUGGAUCAGGUGAAGGAAGUGGAUCAAGUGGAGGAAGUGGAUCAAGUGGAGGAAGUGAUUCAUGACCUAAUGAUUAAGCGUAAUCGGAAAUCAACAACUACGUCUCAAAAAUAC